rnacentral:rRNA from 1 species
UGUCCUUAGUUACCAGCACCUCGGGUGGGCACUCUAAGGAGACUGCCGGUGACAAACCGGAGGAAGGUGGGGAUGACGUCAAGUCAUCAUGGCCCUUACGGCCAGGGCUACACACGUGCUACAAUGGUCGGUACAAAGGGUUGCCAAGCCGCGAGGUGGAGCUAAUCCCAUAAAACCGAUCGUAGUCCGGAUCGCAGUCUGCAACUCGACUGCGUGAAGUCGGAAUCGCUAGUAAUCGUGAAUCAGAAUGUCACGGUGAAUACGUUCCCGGGCCUUGUACACACCGCCCGUCACACCAUGGGAGUGGGUUGCUCCAGAAGUAGCUAGUCUA